rnacentral:misc_RNA from 1 species
UCGCGAGAGUAUACCACAAAUUUAGAUCGAUCCUGCGGAUCUGAAUUCCGUGUAGUUGACGUGCUUCCCCGAUUUCAGCGGGUCACAAAUUAGGCUCGGCUUUGCUUAUUUAAGGGGAGCACGUCAGUGCGGUUAGUAACGUCCGCUAUCCUCGCGGCGGCCAAUGUCCGCAACUGGACCGUGGCAGGACGCGGCUCCUAUUUUCGGCAUGUCCGGUCACCGACGAGAAUCGGACGUUCGUGUCAUAGCGGC